GAUGCGUCGCUCCCGCCCCCCGGGCUCUUGCCCAAUUAGACAGGAGGGGCGGAGCCUCCGCUCUGCGCAGCCUCCGCUCUGUGCAGUCUCCGAGGGGAGGUGCGGCGUAGUCUUUUCCCGAAGUGCAGCGGGCUGGCAAGUCCAGCGUGGAGUGAGGGCUGUGCGUUGCCGAUCGGUCCCGUGAAGGCACCGCUGGCCUGGCCUCUGGGUGGACACGUCAGGAAAGUCUGGGUAUCAGGAGGCCAAAGAGAACAAACAUCCACUACAAUGAAGACUCUGGAAUCCUGCCUCUCGAGGGGCAAUGUGAACUAGCCACUGGAGACAACUGUUAAAAAUAAAACACUUUGCUUGUGAGGUAGUGACCACCCAUUGCCAAGGGUCUGAAGACAGCUUGGAGGCGAAGUGAGCGCAUGGUAAGGUUACUGGCCAGUCAUGUGUGCAAGCCGACGUCUUCCUCUUCCAGCACUUGGGUUUCCUUCCUAGCAGGCCUUCUUCUGGGCUCAGCAGAGGGACAAGAUUCUGAAGAGCUUUACCAGUAGUAGGGCUGGGUGGCUGGGCCUGAGGGAUCCAAACUUCUUUUGGCAAUGGAAAGGCAUGAGUGCUAUCUGAGCGACGAAGAGCUGGACAAAAAAUGCAGUAAGAACAACAGACACUUUAAAAGUAUGUUGUG